UUUGAUAUUUUAUGAGAUUUAUAAUCCUAUAAAUUUAAAAUCCCUCAUUAUAUUACUAUUAGAAACGGUUACAAUAAAAAAAUUCAAACAUUUUGAUUUAAUAAAUGGAUAAAAACUAUGUAAAAAUAAGAAAUAAUAAAUGGCAAAAGAAUGCAUCCAUAGUGUUAAAAAAUUGGUACAUUUUACAAAAAAAUAGGUACAUUUCACAUAUAACAAGGUGGUGCAUUAAUAAAGAAGAAUGGGUACAUUAUAAAUAAAUUAGGGUACAUAUAAAAGAUUAAAAAAUUAUGUACAAAUGAUUUUUUUUAAAAUAUAGGUGCUAAAAGAAAUUAAUACAUGGGUACAAAAUAAAACUAAAAAUAAAAUACUACAAAUUUUAAAAAAAAUGUUGCAAAUUAAAAGUGGGUACAAACUAAAAAUAUAAAUAUAUGAUACAAAGUUUAGGCAUAAAACAUAAAUAUACCAUAUAUAAUUUUUCUAUCAUUGAUUAAAUAUACAAUGUCACGUGACGGUUUACACAUGGGUACAAACACAAAUAAAACUUUUAAAAAUUGGGCACAAAAAGAAACUAAUAUAUGGGUACAAAUUAAAAAUGAAAAGAAAAUUGGUACAAAUUAAAAAAUAUUUGCAAAUUAAAAAUAGGUACAAACUAAAAAUAAAAAUAUAUGAUAAAAAAAUUAGCCAUAAAUAUAAAUAUACUAAUUGUAGCAUUUUUAACACUAAAUGAAUAUAUUUAAAAAUAAAAAUAUUUUAUUAUUCAAAUAAUUAAUGAUGUUAUUAAUACCGAAGGACCUUGAUCAAAAAUUGAAAAUGAAUAGGAUUUUAAUCAAUGGAGUAACAAAAAGAAGGAUGUGAAUCUAAUCAUGCAUGCUCAUCGAAACCAUAUUCAUGAGUUACAUAAUCUAGUUUAAUAUAAGCUAGUAUACAUAAAUUUUUUCUCAGGUAUCGAGUGAUUAAAGAAUACAUGGUUACUCACCUUAAGAUGUAAUAUUAGCAGAAGAGCAUAAAUGAUACGUGCUAUUAAUAUUUUAAUUUAAACUUAUUCAAGAGUGGAUGGCCAUAAACUAUUGAUCACCACGUGACUAAAAAAACGAGACUCCGCCAAUAUAAUAUCUACCCAAAACCCAAAAUAAUAAUAAUAUUAUUAUUAUUAUUUUCCAAUAAUAAUAGAAAUUACAUUUUACAUCCUAUACUAUUUAUUUAUCAGUCUCUAGUGUGGACCAUUUUUUGGGUCCAAGUGGAUAGAAGAUUAAUUAACCCAUCCACAUGAGUCAGACAUGUACAUGCUAGUAACUAUUCAAUAUAGAUGCAAAGUUUCGUAAAGCGAGAUCUCAAUGCUUCAAAUAUUGAGCUAAAUUUCCGUUUAUAUUCCGUAAAAGGGUUAUUGGUGACCGAGAGAUGCUAUAUGAUCGAUUGAUAAUAUGUUUUUAACAUUGCAUGUGUUACACAAGACACGUAAUUCCACCUAUACAUUACUUAUUUGUUUAUGUCUUCGGUCUGAUAUUUUAUGUGCAGUGUUUGCGUGCCGGCUUAGAGGGAUCCUUUGAUGGUGUCGAGAGUCAGAAAUGAAGAACAAAAUAUCGGAAUUUAGGGCAUGCAAAAGGAAGAAAAAGCUGGAGGAUGGAGACAUGAAAGGACACGUACAUGCAGGACCUUACAUUUUAAUUAUGUAUGUAGUAAAAUAUCAACAUCCAGGCCAUUUUUGAGUAGGUGAUGUUCAUUAAGCCCCUUUGAGGAAUUGGCUAUUCAACAACCCUCUGUCUAUGUCUUAAAAUUUAGCACAGUCAUUGGAUGGUAGGGAUCAAAAUAUCAUGAUCGACUAUAAUUCUUUUAUAUCUGAAGUAUCUAAUUAGAAUGAAAUUGGCUAUUUCUGAAUGUUAUGUACUUCAAUUCCUUUCAGUCAAAUUUUUAGAAAAAUGAAUAUUAGAAUGAGAAACUGAAGUAUAUACACUUAAGGUCCUGAGUUCGAAUUCUCCUUCUUUAGCAUUGUUGUAUUAGAAAAAAGAAGUAUGUAAUCGUGUUAUGUUAUUGGUUGCAUCGUUUAGAUUGAAGCAUAUACAGGGCGGUAAAAUGAAGAUAUUUGAAGGAGAAUGGAAAGAUAGAGAUUAUUACUAAAUAAUAAAUUGGCAUCAUGCAACUGAUUGCUUAUGCAUGGGGCAGUUAGACAUUGCUGCACCUAAUGACUCCACUGUGUUGUCUGCACUAAGAAAUGGUCUAUAUAUACAAAAUAAAUGAAACCAAUUCUAACAUCCUACUUCCUGUGCACCGACAAAUGACAUGUAUAAUUAACUCAUGAUAUUUAGUUAUUUACUGCUAUUUAGUUAUCUAUCACUAUUAUCCGUGUUAGAUUUGCUCUUGUAACCUUGUGUCUUUUGUCAAUGUUUUAUGGGGGAGCUAGCGGGGUGUGUAUCUCGAUGCAAUUAGUAGUUUUGUUGGUGAUUUUAUGCACGAGUAAUAGGGAGAUUAAAUUUGUAAAUUAAGUUUUGUAAAUUUACUAAAUGACAUGGAAGAUGAUAAUUGUAUUAUUACUUAAACGUUGAUAAACGUGUUCAUUUCUUAAUUCUUAUUGGUGACACAUCAUUUAGUUUGCAAUUUUGGUUUAUAAAUUUAGUCUCCCUAGCAUCACUCUUUAUACACAUAAUCUCUGAUAGCAUUAACUAUUUGUAUCUUUUGCGUUUCAAAGUGUCUGGACACUAGUUUUGUUGUAGAAUCUCGUACGCGGCAGGUUAUGAAAUGUUUCAAUUUUAGUUGGCAGGAUCAAAGUUCUUUUGAUUUUGAAGUGUUGUUAUAUUUCCUUGUUACUUCUUAUGUUUGUCACACACACAUAUAUAUGCAUCAAUAUCAUUUUGUUUUCGAGUAUUUUUGGUUUGAGAACUCUUCAACUUAAUCUCAGGUUCUCUUCUUGAAGUUUGUACAUUUUCAAAAUGUUCUAAUAAAACUCUUAUGGUUUCAUCUAAAAAAUCAUCUUCAACUCUUCCUUCCCUAGCUUAUUUAUUUCACUAUGAGUUGCUUGACGAAUGCCAAUUUUAGUUAUUUUAUUUGUAUAUAAAUAGAGUUAAUUAUAUGGAGUACCUCUACUUGAAAACAUAGUGGUGGAAACCCCAUUUAAAACGAGCAUGUAACACAAAGUUAGACCAUAUAACUGACCCUUAUUAACUUUACUACUUUGAUCAUAUCCAUAAAUCAACUAAAGAGUACUCUCUUCUCUUCUUUUUUUUUUUCUUUUUUCUUUUGCUAGGAAAUGAAAACUUUAUAAUGAGAAACAAUGAGUACAACUUGUUCCAAUACAAUAAAAAUAGAAAGUUUUCCAAGCAGGGAUAAACUAGAAAUCUGUAUGGACGAAGGCAUCCUCAUACAACAAAGUCACAAAUUAAAAAGUUAAAAAGCUAAUUAAACAAAAUAGUUAUAUAUUAAUCUAUAUUUUUCACACAACAUAUUAUAAUACCCCUCGAUGUGUUUUCAUGCUUUAAAAGCAUUGCAUGACAACUUCAUUACCAACACCACCAAAUAUUUCUCUCACUUUCUAUAAAAAUAAUCAUGUUAUUAUUUAUCAAUUGAUUUACCAUCUUAUUUGUUAAUCAAUUCUUCAUAAAUUUAAUGGCCGAAAAUACUCUUUCAACAUUGACAGUAGGAACUAGAACAGUUAAUGUUAAUGUAACAAGUAAGUAAACUAGUGAAACACCUUGCUAAUGUCACAAUUAUAUACAUUUUUUCACCAAAACAAUUUGGGCGGGGGGGGGCAUCUUGGAUUAAAUUUUUUGAAUAGAGUGACCAUAGCUAGUAAUAGCGUCAACCAUAAAAUUAGCCUCUCUAAAAACAUGCUUCCAAUUGAUAGUAAUGAAAGCCUCCGCCACCUAUAGUCGUUAACAAUUGAAAUAAUUUAAGCUUAAUCUUGCACUACAAAAUUACUUGAAUCAAGCUGAGGUACCCACAGUCAGUUACUACCACUUUGAUCAAUAGUUUUCACAAGGUAAAAGCACACCAAACACAUGUGUGAGCUCGAAACAAGCUCAAGAUAAAAAUUAGGAAUAAGAAAGUUAAAAGGUUAACUUCAAAAUAUAUAUUUACGUGCCCAAAUCAUAAAUGAGGAGAUAAAUAAUUUGUUGUUUUAAUCUAUAAGCUUUUACCAAAACAAAAGUACAAAUUUUUUAAAAUUGAAUUUGAUGAUUUCUUAAGUGCAAUUUUCAUUUUUUUAAUAAGGGGAACCAGCUAGUAGUUUUACCACAGCAAUCCAUCAUUUCGGGAGCCGAGAAGACUCACAGAGGCAUUUCAACCUCCUCCUGAUUACUGUUGUGUGAUUUACCAGUAUCUGGAAUUGAACUCAAAACGUGUCGUGUGAAAUACUCCUUAUAUCGUGGAAGUUAAUAAUAAUAAAAAAAAAGAUAGGACCGAAUGCUUUAGCAAAGGGCAGUCAAACAAUUAUAUUGCCUAACAUAGAGGAUGGUCCUAUUGAGAAAAAAAAAUGUAAUCAAGCAAGUCAAAUUAUUAAACCCCAAAAAACCCACUUACCAUAAAUUAAUCACAAGGUAAAAUUAACCAUUUUUUUUUUUUUUUUCACCAGCUUGCUAAGUUGCUAGCAACGCAGAUGCUUAAAAUAGGUACAAUGGAAGCAAAAUUCCAAAAAUAAAGCCGAAGAAGAAUAAAAAUGGUCCACUGAUCCUACUUGCUGUAUUGAAAUUACAAGUUCGUGCUCUCCAAAACAGCUGGCCCUUUGGGCCUUAUCGCAGAUAAUAUUAAAACAAUUAAAAACUUGAAAUAAAAAUGAAUUACCACCCAGGAUGAUGAUAGGGACAGGCUCACAUGAGCCCAACCAGAUAAUACAUGAGGUCCCUACUUAUAUUUAAUUUCCCACAAUUUUAUUAAUCAGAAACCAAUUAAAAUUAUAACGUGGAAAAAAUAUUUAUAUAUAAAAAAAAUCAUGCCUAACUGGAGAAGUUUCCUGGAGGGCACCUUCCUUGGAAGAAAAUCACACACAUGGAACAUAGUCACAUACGCACAAAUACUUAAUAGCCAGCCCUCCUUUCAAAUAGAUUUUUUUUUUCAAACACAAUUAUCGUAGUAUACAACCUUACGUGUUAUAAUAAAAAUAAAUAAUAUAAUUGAUAUGUCACACUUUCAAAUAUAAAAAUUAAAUACAAUCUAACAUAUUUUAAGCUUAAUAAACUAAUAAAAGCGCGGACU
rnacentral:lncRNA from 1 species